CUGACUGGCUUGCAGGGUCUUCCCACAGUCACAAUGGACAGCAGAGCUGUUUAUGAGCAGACCUUCAAAGUGUUUUCCAAAGAAUUUAAGCUCCUGAUUAUCUCUCAGCUGUUACAGCUUUAUUGAAGGAGGGAAGCACAGAUUUCAGCCAAGGAGGCAGGCUACAGGCAAGUCUCGCCAUGAUAUUUCCCCGGAGAAGAUGUUGCACCCAACUGUGUAGAAGCAUCAGGGAUAGUGCUGUCGAAACAUACCAAGGACCUUCAACACCAGUCAAUGAAGAUGAAGGGCCAGAUCUUAAGACCUUCCGCAUGCAUGCGCAUUGCAUUGUGUGGCAUUAAACAAUUUCAGCAUUGCUUACAUACUAUAUACAUAUAUUAAUUAUAUAUGUAUAUAUUGAGGUUUGGCUGCAAUACUUUACUGAAGUGUGUUAUGAGGGUCCAGGGAGGAUAUGCAUGAAAUGGUCAUUGUGCAACAGAAAGUUUCCCUACAAUCUCUUUGGGCAAAUGCGUGGUACCUCACAUAAAGAACAGGCAUUUUGUGGUUUUGCUCACGCCAGCAAUUCUUAGGGGUAUGCAGGCUAUACAAUCAAAAUUAUUUGAAUUGUGCAGUAAAUGACUCAUGCUGUUAAGAUAUGUCUGACAUACAGUAGAUUUAUUUGGCUGACACUUAUUUGCAAGAAUGAUAACUUCUCCAUGAGUAUUCCUGGAUAUUAAAUUAUUCUUAUUCUGGGCUAAAUCUGUGAGAGACUUAGUUACUCACCGAAAAACAAAAUUAAGUCUUUUUUUCCUCUAGCAAAAAGAGGUAUGUGGUGAGAAAUUACAUUCAGCUUCUGUGAAAACUGACCAGAUUAUUGUUUGGGUUUUUUAAAUAUCUAAAUAACACAAGGGAAUCUGAUGUGCACACCUAUAAAUCAUUAUACCAGUGUGAUUUUCAGGUAUGAUGGCUAAGAUGCCAAUUACUGUAUAUGCCACCAAAGAGUUUACAGUUGGCUUAGCAAAAAAGGUGGUGCAUAGCAAGCGACAGGAUACUCCAGGGCAAAUACUAAGGCUCGGGGCCUGACCCCGUAAGCGGCUCAGAGCUCUCAACUCUCAAUGAAAAAUGUACAGCACUCAACACUUUGCAGGAACAGGUUCCUGAUUUCUAGAACUAGCAUCCUAUUUUACAAGUGCAGUUGCCUGCAGGUGCAACAGAUUUCAGGCACAAGUACUACUGUCCAGAGCUCCGACUACCUGAUUGGAUUUUUAAAAAGUGCUCAGAGUUUAAUUGAAGCAGAGUUAGGUCAAAGUUAAGCACUUUUGAAAAUCCUGGCCUUAAAUACUAGCAUUUACUUCUGCAAUUAAUUGUGAAUGCAAAACAUCCCCCACAAAAUUGGAAACUGAGUUAAGGACAUUUUUAAAAACAAACAAAAACACCGUAAAGGCAUUUGUGGCCUCCCAGUGAGUUGAUUGAGAGCACUACUUGCAUUUUAGCACAGAAUUUGGUGCUAUGUUUUUAGCACAAUGAUAAUGUGCCUGAAUUCUAAAUUUGCAGUAUGACUUAUAAAAUUUAUUUCUGGAUAGAUUUAAAUAAAAGAGAAAGGAAAUGGUCUUUAGAAUGUUUUUAUUCUUUACAUUUAACGUUCCAACUAUGUUAAAAAUUCAGUUGUUUUAUACUACAUCAAUCUAUUGAGCUAAAACACUAGGCCAAAUUCCAUCCUCAUUUAUGUAAGUGCAGUUUCCUCUGGAGUAAAUGGGAGAUGCACCCAUGUAAAUGUGGCCCACAACAUUUAUCUUUACAGCGUUGUUUGUGGCAGUGCAAGGAGAAGUUUAACUUCCGGUUUAGCUUGUUAAGCAUUUAUUUUCAUCCUUAUUUUAUGCAUCAACAUUCAUGGUGGUAGUUUAGAAAGAGUUUAGUCAAGUUUAUAAUGGCCAUUCAGUUAGUUAAAGUUUGUCCAUUAUAAAAUUAAUGAGGCCUCUCCUAACUAAUUCACAAGUUAAGACAAAGAUUUACAAGUGUGCCUCUGGGUGGCGUAAGCACAAAUGUUUUUGUUUUGUUUUUUGAAGAGAUUCAGAACAUGUCCAGACUCUUAAAUUCCUGAUCCUGUAAUCCCUCCACUCACAGCUCCCACUGGCUUUGACCAGAGUUUUGCAUGCAAAAGAACUGCAGGCUUUAUGUGCACAGAAAAAUUGGAUUCUGUGUACUAUGCCUGUCUCUUUAGAUCUAUGAAAAGAUAAAUAAGCUACAUGGCCUAUGAAAUGUCAAGACUGCAUCAGAAAGUCUCAUGUAAAAUAUUUUUAGCAUCAGAAAAGGAGCUGUAGCACCUUCUGAGCCUGGACAAAAGCUUACUAAGCUAUGCUACAGCUCUUAGAGAGAAUGUGUAGGCCAACAAGAAGUAAAAUCAGAACCCCCAUGCUCAGGAAAAGCACCAAUUUCAAGUUGUUUUUAAGGAACAAAGCUGUAAAUUA